rnacentral:rRNA from 1 species
GACGAACGCUGGCGGCGUGCUUAACACAUGCAAGUCGAACGAAGUGGCGAACGGGUGAGUAACGCGUAAUCAACCUGCCCUUCAGCGGGGGACAACAGGUGGAAACGACUGCUAAUACCGCAUACUGAAGGAGGGGAUUGCGUCUGAUUAGCUAGUUGGAGGGGUAACGGCCCACCAAGGCGAUGAUCAGUAGCCGGGCUGGUGGGGUGAACGGCCAAAUGGGGAAUGAGAAACGGGCCAGACUCCGACGGGAGGCAGCAGUGGGGAAUCUUCCGCAAUGGACGAAAGUCUGACGGAGCAACGCCGCGUGAGUGGUGACGGCCUUCGGGUUGUAAAGCUCUGUUAAUCGGGACGCGGUACCGGAAUAGAAAGCCACGGCUAACUACGUGCCAGCAGCCGCGGUAAUUC